CGGAGUUAGCCGGUGCUUAUUCCCAAGGUACCGUCAUUAUCUUCCCUUGGACAAAGAGCUUUACGACCCAAAGGCCUUCUUCACUCACGCGGUAUUGCUGCGUCAGGCUUUCGCCCAUUGCGCAAAAUUCCCC
rnacentral:rRNA from 1 species